rnacentral:rRNA from 1 species
UAGCCGUAAACGAUACUCGCUAGGUGUCGGCCACGGUGCGACCGUUGUCGGUGCCGUAGGGAAGCCGUGAAGCGAGCCACCUGGGAAGUACGGCCGCAAGGCUGAAACUUAAAGGAAUUGGCGGGGGAGCACAACAACGGGUGGAGCUUGCGGUUUAAUUGGACUCAACGCCGGGAAGCUCACCGGAUAAGACAGCGGAAUGAUUGCCGGGCUGAAGACCCUGCAUGACCAGCUGAGAGGAGGUGCAUGGCGUAGU